rnacentral:misc_RNA from 1 species
CCAAUAGCGUAUAUUAAAGUUGUUGCAGUUAAAAAGCUCGUAGUUGAAUUUCGGGGUUCUUCCGUUGGUCAGGCUAACAAGUCUGUACUAGCGUGUAGAAUCUCUACCUUCUGGGGAACCAUCAUGUUAUUAAUUUAGCGUGGUGGGAAACCAGGACCUUUACCUUGAAAAAAUUAGAGUGUUCAAAGCAGGCUUACGUCUGAAUACAUUAGCAUGGAAUAAUAAAAUAGGACGGUGGUCCUGUUUUGUUGGUUUCUGAAUCACCGUAAUGAUUAAUAGGGAUAGUUGGGGGCAUUAGUAUUCAAUUGUCAGAGGUGAAAUUCUUGGAUUUAUUGAAGACUAACUUCUGCGAAAGCAUUUGCCAAGGAUGUUUUCAUUAAUCAAGAACGAAAGUUAGGGGAUCGAAGACGAUCAGAUACCGUCGUAGUCUUAACCAUAAACUAUGCCGACUAGGGAUCGGACGAUGUUAAAUUUUAUUGACUCGUUCGGCGCCUUACA